GGCGUGGUGGCUGAGUGGUUAUAGCGAUAGACUAGAAAUCUAUUUCCUUCGGGAGCACAGGUUCGAAUCCUGUCCACGUCG
rnacentral:tRNA from 1 species